UCGGCUCCUGCUACAUCACCAGCACCACCACUACCACCACGCCAAUCAACUUUCCCUCGCUCUCUUUCUCUCUUACCUCCUCACGGACUUGAAUGCUCUCUCCUAAUCAGCACAAACUCUCUUUAUCUUUAUCUCAAAUAAAUAAACACAAACCAGGAAAAAAACUAGAUAAACCAAAAAAAGGACACCACUACUUUGUCCGUGUCCGUCAAUAAAUAGAGAAAAAAAACCUGAUAAAUCUUCUCACGAUCGAACAACGACCAACAAAUCCGACUUUCUUGCUCUGUCCUCCUGUCACGAGAAGGGUUUAUGUGUCGUCGUCCACGAACUGUACUUUUUUCCGUGUUAUUAUUGUCAAACCUUGUGAAUCUUGUUGAUCUCUUGUCUCCCUUGUCGUCGAAAUCGAAAUCUCUGAGGGAGAAAGUCAGACUCGAUUGAAGGAAAGUGGAAACCAUGGCGCGCCACCAUUUCUCUUCCGAACAUCGCACCACCGGACCCCCGAUCGACUACAGCACGGAUGCCAUCAUUUAUGUCACGGUGGUGGUUGUUUUCUACGCCGCGAUUAUAAUCCUCCUCUUGACGACGAACUUUCGCAGGAAGCGACCCAGCUCGUCGUCUCGAACAGAGAGCAACCCUUCCACAAACACGCGGAAACAUUGGCUUUUCUUCAAUCCGAUUAGCGGCGAGGCUCAGCAAGCAUCCAAAAAGGAGUCACAACAGUUUAUUCACACGCAGGACGCGGAAACCGUGUAAAGAAAAGGAAAAAAAGAACUGCCACAUUUUCAUAUCUAGAAAAGAAAACAACUCUUUAUUUCCUACGACUUUUACUGUGGGGCCAACAAAAGAAUAUUCACCCCGACCUUUUCGGAGAAAGCGUGGUGGCAAAUUUACACGGUUUUUUGGUUUGCUUUCUCCAUCAGCAUGUGACGUUAUUUGGAAGAUAUCAAAUUUUCCUUGGUUCAAGAUCAACUUAAGUGGACCCUUAAUCAACAAACAGGGAGGCAAUUUUUGGCAUAAUUGUUAACAGAUUUUGCGGGAAAUUUGAAUUUUAUUAUCUAUGAAAGCGGUUAUUUUGUUUUGCUUUCUCUACAAAAAAUAGUAUGGUUCAUGCAAUUGUUAGUUUUUUGAGGGAAUUAUCACCUUAGAUGGACCCUUUAUAAGCAGGGAAGCAAUUUUAUGUCCAUAAGUAUGGACAAAUUUUUUACGAAAUUUGAAUUUUCCUACCUCUGAAACUGAUUAGUAAAACUGUUUCAUUUUGCAUUAUCCGCCAAAACAUGGUGCUAUUCACACAAUUCAAAGUUCUUUUUGUCGUUGCAUCAUCCCUUAAUCAGCGGAAAUGCAAAUUUGGGCCCGAUUUAACUCGAACUUCGAAUUUACAUGAAUUUACGAAAGUGAUUAAUUGAAUGGUGGAAAA